rnacentral:sRNA from 1 species
AAUUGCAGAAUCCCGUGAACCAUCGAGUCUUUGAACGCAAGUUGCGCCCCAAGCCUUCUGGCCGAGGGCACGUCUGCCUGGGUGUCACAAAUCGUCGUCCCCCCAUCCUCUCGAGGAUAUGGGACGGAAGCUGAUCUCCCGUGUGUUACCGCACGCGGUUGGCCAAAAUCCGAGCUAAGGACGUCAGGAGCGUCUUGACAUGCGGUGGUGAAUUUAAUUCUCGUCAUAUAGUCAGACGUUCCGGUCCAAAAGCUCUUGAUGACCCAAAGUCCUCAACGCGACCCCGGUCAGGCGGGAUCACCCGCUGAGUUUAAGCAUAUCAAUAAGCGGAGGAAAAGAAACUAACAAGGAUUCCCUUAGUAACGGCGAGCGAACCGGGAAGAG